UACGUAGGGGGCAAGCGUUGUCCGGAAUCAUUGGGCGUAAAGCGCGUGUAGGCGGCUUGGUAAGUCUGCUCUGAAAGCCCGGGGCUCAACCCCGGGAGGCGGGUGGAUACUGUCAAGCUCGAGUCCGGAAGAGGAGUGUGGAAUUCCUGGUGUAGCGGUGAAAUGCGUAGAUAUCAGGAGGAACACCUGUGGUGUAGACAGCUUACUGGACCAUUUCUGACGCUGAGACACGAAAGCGUGGGUAGCAAACAGG
rnacentral:rRNA from 1 species